CUGAAAGAGCAUCAGACGCAGCAGUGUUCACAAUGAAGGGAAUGAAAAAUAUAAUAAUCUGGGGUUUAUUAUUUGUUCUGACUAUUCAUGGUGUUUGGUGUGAUAUCAGACUGGACCAGCCUCCCUCUGAGGACAAAAGACCUGGAGAGACUGUGAAGAUUUCAUGUGUCACAUCUGGUUAUACAAUGACAAGUUACAGCAUUAACUGGAUACGACAGAAACCUGGGAAAGCUUUGGAGUGGAUGGGGUGGAUAAACACAGAUACGACUGUUGCUAGCUACGCCAGUGCCUUUCAAAACCGAUUCACCUUUACUCAAGAUGUUCCGAGCAGCACUCAGUACCUCGAGAUCAAGAGUCUGACAGCUGAAGAUUCUGCUGUUUACUUCUGUGCUCGACUCCACAGUGACUGAAAAUAGAAGAGCAGCUGUGCAAAAACCUCAACUAGCCACGCGACUUUGAUGAGCUCUGCACAAGCAAAAUGACUAUUUUGGAUCCAUACCUGAUUUUACUAGAACAUGACAGUUAUC